rnacentral:misc_RNA from 1 species
UAGGUUUAUCCAAUUUCCAUUAAGUAUAAUGCUCUAUCCUUGUAGAUAAUGCUUUUGAAUCUCAAUUCGAGUGGUGUGUUUGUCGCUUGAAUUGCAUGUGAUAGAAGGGUGACCCAGUGCAUAAAGCAUCCCAUACUUGUAACAUAUUGAAACAAAAUUAAAGUUUAUUAUUAUACUAUUACAUGUUGAAAUUCAUUGACUAUGA